rnacentral:rRNA from 1 species
AAAAAAGGUAAGCUACUAAGAGCGAAUGGUGGAUGCCUUGACUGGUAAAGGCGAUGAAGGACGUACUAGACUGCGAUAAGCUACGGGGAGCUGUCAAGAAGCUUUGAUCCGUAGAUUUCCGAAUGGGGCAACCCAAUGUAUAGAGAUAUACAUUACCUAUAUAGGAGCGAACGAGGGGAAUUGAAACAUCUUAGUACCCUCAGGAAAAGAAAUCAAUAGAGAUUGCGUCAGUAGCGGCGAGCGAAAGCGCAAGAGGGCAAACCCAGUGCUUGCACUGGGGGUUGUAGGACUGCAAUGUGCAAGAGGUAAGUUUAGCAGAACAUUCUGGAAAGUAUAACCAUAGAGGGUGAUAGUCCCGUAUGCGAAAAACAAACCUUAGCUAGCAGUAUCCUGAGUAGGGCGGGACACGAGGAAUCCUGUCUGAAUCCGGGUCGACCACGAUCCAACCCUAAAUACUAAUACCAGAUCGAUAGUGCACAAGUACCGUGAGGGAAAGGUGAAAAGAACUGAGGUGAUCAGAGUGAAAUAGAACCUGAAACCAUUUGCUUACAAUCAUUCAGAGCCCUAUGUAGCAAUACAGGGUGAUGGACUGCCUUUUGCAUAAUGAGCCUGCGAGUUGUGGUGUCUGGCAAGGUUAAGCAAACGCGAAGCCGUAGCGAAAGCGAGUCUGAAUAGGGCGCUUAGUCAGAUGCUGCAGACCCGAAACGAAGUGAUCUAUCCAUGAGCAAGUUGAAGCUAGUGUAAGAACUAGUGGAGGACUGAACCCAUAGGCGUUGAAAAGCCCCGGGAUGACUUGUGGAUAGGGGUGAAAGGCCAAUCAAACUUCGUGAUAGCUGGUUCUCUCCGAAAUAUAUUUAGGUAUAGCGUUGUGUCGUAAUAUAAGGGGGUAGAGCACUGAAUGGGCUAGGGCAUACACCAAUGUACCAAACCCUAUCAAACUCCGAAUACCUUAUAUGUAAUCACAGCAGUCAGGCGGCGAGUGAUAAAAUCCGUCGUCAAGAGGGAAACAACCCAGACUACCAGCUAAGGUCCCUAAAUCUUACUUAAGUGGAAAACGAUGUGAAGUUACUUAAACAACCAGGAGGUUGGCUUAGAAGCAGCCAUCCUUUAAAGAAAGCGUAAUAGCUCACUGGUCUAGUGAUUUUGCGCGGAAAAUAUAACGGGGCUAAAGUAAGUACCGAAGCUGUAGACUUGCGCACAACUUAGAUUAUUUAAGUUUAGAAUAUGAGAAACUAAGUUAUAUGUUUAGUUAUAUUUUUACUGAUUUUUAUAGAGUAAAGAUAGAAAUAAAACUUAGUAAAAUCAGUAAAAAUAUUCUUAGACUAAAGUUAAGUAGUUUAAGUUGUGUGCAAGUGGUAGGAGAGCGUUCUAUUUGCGUCGAAGGUAUACCGGUAAGGAGUGCUGGAGCGAAUAGAAGUGAGCAUGCAGGCAUGAGUAGCGAUAAUUAAUGUGAGAAUCAUUAACGCCGUAAACCCAAGGUUUCCUACGCGAUGCUCGUCAUCGUAGGGUUAGUCGGGUCCUAAGUCGAGUCCGAAAGGGGUAGACGAUGGCAAAUUGGUUAAUAUUCCAAUACCAACAUUAGUGUGCGAUGGAAGGACGCUUAGGGCUAAGGGGGCUAGCGGAUGGAAGUGCUAGUCUAAGGUCGUAGGAGGUUAUACAGGCAAAUCCGUAUAACAAUACUCCGAGAACUGAAAGGCUUUUUGAAGUCUUCGGAUGGAUAGAAGAACCCCUGAUGCCAUCGAGCCAAGAAAAGUUUCUAAGUUUAGCUAAUGUUGCCCGUACCGUAAACCGACACAGGUGGGUGGGAUGAGUAUUCUAAGGCGCGUGGAAGAACUCUCUUUAAGGAACUCUGCAAAAUAGCACCGUA